ACCGCCUCUCAUCCCCACGUCGCUUCCUCCUCCUCCUCGUCGUCGUCGUCGUCCUCGUCCGCCCCUCUGCUCCCUGUCUGCCCGUCUCCCCCACCACGCGCGUCUCGGACAGACGGGCAGGCGGAGGGGGGCAGACCGGGCGGCUGCGGCGAUCUCUGUGGCCUGCCGUGUCGGGUCGAGAGCAACUCGAGCCACGGGCGUCACCGUCGACGACCGUAAUGUCCGGAGACGAAAAUACGUUGGGAGAAGCAUCACGCUUGCAGCGGCGUGAGCAGCCUCCAGGAAACGGAACUUCAUUCAGGGGAGCGAUCGACGCAUGAAGGAAAUAGAGCAAGACCAAAGAAGGCCUGAUUUGGAAAACGUCAAGCAGUGGACCGGAGCAACGCUACCCAACCUGUUGCUCCACAGGUCACAAGACUGCGUCUGUCGGAGGAGGUGGACUGGCCGAACCAUCCUGAAGGGGGCGCUCCCGAUGACCGAAUCGGUCACGGGAAGAGUUUCAGUGUUCUUCACUACCCUUUCAUCGGGUGGGGGGCAAUUUCGCCGAUAAGACAUCAUCCGUGUGAGGGCCGCCACAUAUUUGAAACCAUUGGGGGGUUUUACAGCAGCACGAUGAUGAUGAUGGUGGUGUUUUCACUUUGUGUAUUUCCGUGGGCCUGCACGUCAGGGGCCGCCCUAAAUGCCACCAGGGUCCUCCAGUAGCCCUCGGCCCUUGCAAUGAAGAACACUGGUUGAUACAAAUAUUUCUGUUCUGAAUAGCUUGAUAUUUGGACCCUGUAUGCUGACGUUGUUCACCUUGUAUCACGUGUGCACUACGUUGCUAUCGCGAUACGGGUCUUUGUUGAACAAAAAUAAAUAGACUUUUACACUCCAAAAUAACGUUCAGGCAAAUCGUCCGAAAAACUUUAAAAAUCAAGCAAAUAGUUUGGCGAUGCUGUGUUGAAAGUGGUGCACAGGCAAACUACCCUUGCUCUGCAGAAGGGUCAUUGCCCAAACAUCGCCUAUUAUAUACAGGGUGCUUCAAUUUGUUUAACACUUAUAUGGGACUAUCGUUUUUAAUGGAAAAGAACAGAUAAUACACUGUAUAACAUGAUAACA